rnacentral:rRNA from 1 species
GACGAACGCUGGCGGCGUGCCUAAUACAUGCAAGUCGAGCGAAGUUUUUCUGGUGCUUGCACUAGAAAAACUUAGCGGCGAACGGGUGAGUAACACGUAAAGAACCUGCCUCAUAGACUGGGACAACUAUAGGAAACGAUAGCUAAUACCGGAUAACAGUAUUUCUCGCAUGAGAGAUAUUUAAAAGUUGGUUAUGCUAACACUAUGAGAUGGCUUUGCGGUGCAUUAGCUAGUUGGUGGGGUAAAGGCCCACCAAGGCGACGAUGCAUAGCCGACCUGAGAGGGUGAUCGGCCACACUGGGACUGAGACACGGCCCAGACUCCUACGGGAGGCAGCAGUAGGGAAUCUUCCGCAAUGGGCGAAAGCCUGACGGAGCAACGCCGCGUGAGUGAAGAAGGAUUUCGGUUCGUAAAGCUCUGUUGUUAGGGAAGAAUGGAUAUGUAGUAACUAUACAUGUAAGAGACGGUACCUAACCAGAAAGCCACGGCUAACUACGUG